ACAUCUGGAAAACACAGGCGGAGAGCACACAGCAGUCUCUCAGCUUGGAAGUGUUGUGUGCCAUCCCCACUCCCUGGGCAUCAGGGAAGGACCCGUGACCUAGGACCAAGCUUACCUCAAGGAAAACUGAGGGAUACAGUUGCUGGCUGGGUAACCAUCUUCAGAAUGCUUGUUAUGUGAGGUUUUUCUGUUAACAGGUCUGAAAUUGAGGCUGGCUUGUGGGUAAGCACAGUUGCUCUAGAUUUGAAAGCUGUUACACUCCGAGGGGACCGUUCCUUGGCACCUGUGUAUUGUGGAAGGUCACUUGAUUGUAGACAGCUGUUAUCUCUGGUCACACUAGUA